rnacentral:rRNA from 1 species
CCCUAUGGGGUGCAGCAGGAGUAGAUGGACAUAAGGUUAUUGAUGCCUUCUUUGCCAUCCGCAUAACGGACAACCGCUUCGGAAUCCGUGACGGCGCUUUUGAAUUUCUUCAGGAUGACAUCCGGUUCAUCCAAAACAGAAACAGAUGCUUUCGGAUUCUUAUCGGAUUUCGACAUCUUUUUGUCCGGUUCCUGCAGGGACAUCACGCGGGCGCCCACCUUACCGAUAAACGGCUGCGGUAUCGUGAAAGUUUUGCCGUAAAGCCCGUUGAAACGCUCCCCGAUAUCACGGGCAAUCUCCAAGUGCUGCUUCUGGUCCUCGCCGAUGGGCACAAAGUCCGCCUGGUAGAUUAAAAUAUCCGCGGCCAUUAAAAUCGGAUAGGUGAACAGCCCUACAUUUAUAUUAUCGGAAUUGGCGGGAGGGC